CAAUAGCGUAUAUUAAAGUUGUUGCAGUUAAAAAGCUCGUAGUUGGAUUUCUGGUGGGAGCGAUCGGUCUGGCGCUUAGCGCGAGUACUUGCAUCGUCUCCGGCCAUCCUUGGGGAGAGUCUGUCUGGCAUUAGGUUGUCGGGCAGAGGAUCCUCAUCGUUUACUGUGAAAAAAUUAGAGUGUUCAAAGCAGGCUUAUGCCGUUGAAUAUAUUAGCAUGGAAUAAUAAGAUAGGACUUUGGUACUAUUUUGUUGGUUUGCGCACCAAAGUAAUGAUUAAUAGGGACAGUUGGGGGUAUUCGUAUUCCGUUGUCAGAGGUGAAAUUCUUGGAUUUAUGAAAGACGAACUACUGCGAAAGCAUUUGCCAAGGAUGUUUUCAUUAA
rnacentral:rRNA from 1 species